AUCGCUUCUCGGCCUUUUGGCUAAGAUCAAGUGUAAAGUCACACCAAGAUAUUUUAUGUUAUUUGGGACUAUUGUGAAGGGUAUCAUUUCCUUAAUUUAUUUCUCAGCCUGUUUAUCUUUUGAGUAGAGGAAGGCUACUGAUU
ensembl:snRNA U2 U2 spliceosomal RNA